UGGGGAAUAUUGCACAAUGGGCGAAAGCCUGAUGCAGCAACGCCGCGUGAGUGAUGAAGGUCUUCGGAUUGUAAAGCUCUGUCUUUUGGGACGAUAAUGACGGUACCAAAGGGGAAGCCACGGCUAACUACGUGCCAGCAGCCGCGGUAAUACGUAGGUGGCGAGCGUUGUCCGGAUUUACUGGGCGUAAAGGGUGCGUAGGCGGAUGUUUAAGUGAGAUGUGAAAU
rnacentral:rRNA from 1 species